rnacentral:rRNA from 1 species
CAAUAGCGUAUAUUAAAGUUGUUGCGGUUAAAAAGCUCGUAGUUGGAUUUCUGCUGAGAACGACCGGUCCGCCCUCUGGGUGUGUAUCUGGCUCUUUCUUGGCAUCUUCUUGGUGAACGUUGCUGCACUUGACUGUGUGGAGCGCUACCCAGGACUUUUACUUUGAGGAAAUUAGAGUGUUUCAAGCAGGCAUACGCCUUGAAUACAUUAGCAUGGAAUAAUAAGAUAGGACCUCGGUUCUAUUUUGUUGGUUUCUAGAGCUGAGGUAAUGAUUAAUAGGGAUAGUUGGGGGCAUUCGUAUUUAACUGUCAGAGGUGAAAUUCUUGGAUUUAUGAAAGACGAACUUCUGCGAAAGCAUUUGCCAAGGAUGUUUUCAUUA